rnacentral:tRNA from 1 species
GUGCCUGUAGUUCAGUGGUAGAGCGCUGGAUUGUGGAUCCAGUUGUCGUGGGUUCGAACCCCAUCAGGCACC